rnacentral:rRNA from 1 species
AGCGAACGCUGGCGGCAUGCUUAACACAUGCAAGUCGCACGGCGGGGGCAACUCCGUCAGUGGCGGACGGGUGAGUAACGCGUAGGAAUCUAUCCUUGAAUGGGGGACAACCGUGGGAAACUACGGCUAAUACCGCAUGAUGCCUGAGGGCCAAAGACGAAAGUCGUUUGAGGAGGAGCCUGCGUCUGAUUAGCUUGUUGGUGGGGUAAAGGCCUACCCAAGGCGACGAUCAGUAGCUGGUCUGAGAGGAUGAUCAGCCACAUUGGGACUGAGACACGGCCCAAACUCCUACGGGAGGCAGCAGUGGGGAAUAUUGGACAAUGGGCGCAAGCCUGAUCCAGCAAUGCCGCGUGGGUGAAGAAGGUCUUCGGAUUGUAAAGCCCUUUUGGCGGGGACGAUGAUGACGGUACCCGCAGAAUAAGCUCCGGCUAACUUCGUG